CUGGGUUUAAAGUGUGCGUAGGCGGUUAGUUAAGUCUGUUGUGAAAAUCCCCCGGGGCUCAACCUGGGGAAUGGCAAUGGAUACUGGCUAGCUAGAGUGUGUCAGAGGAUGGUGGAAUUCCCGGUGUAGCGGUGAAAUGCGUAGAGAUCGGGAGGAACAUCAGUGGCGAAGGCGGCCAUCUGGGACAACACUGACGCUGAAGCACGAAAGCGUGGGGAGCAAACAGGAUUAGAUACCCCGGGUA
rnacentral:rRNA from 1 species